rnacentral:rRNA from 1 species
AAAGUUCAGACAAUGAUGCAAAUUACGAGUGACGGUGCAUGGUCCUUGCGUAACCAAAGUCAGAAGUUUUCCCUCUUGGAUCGUUAUAUGAUAGCUAAAGGCCUAACUGAAACAUUUGGUGAACAGAAGGCAGGUUCAAAAACGAGCGCGACCCAGUAUCAAAAAAACGGGGGUUCCUCCCGCCCUUUGCGGGCCCCGGGGGGCUUUCGGCGUUUUCUUCGGCGGGGCUGCCCCGCCGGAACACCCUCAAGAAAAUCUUACAAAACCGUUCAGUCCGAGGUUGCGAUAAUAAGAAAAACUUUCAACAACGGAUCUCUUGGUUCUGGCAUCGAUGAAGAACGCAGCGAAAUGCGAUAAGUAAUGUGAAUUGCAGAAUUCAGUGAAUCAUCGAAUCUUUGAACGCACAUUGCGCCCUCUGGUAUUCCGGGGGGCACACCUGUUCGAGCGCCAUUUCGACCCUCAAGCACAGCUUGGUGUUGGGCAUGGUCCUGCGGGACCCGCCCGUAACUCGUAGGCGGCCGCCGCCCGCGCCCCCAGCGUAGCAAGCUCACGCGUUCGCUCGGGGACGGCGCGUCUGGCCCGCCAGACAAUUUUUUCAAGGUUUGGCCUCGGAUCAGGUGGGGAUACCCGCUGAACUUAAGCAUAUCAAUAAGCGGAGGA